rnacentral:rRNA from 1 species
CCUACGGGAGGCAGCAGUGGGGAAUAUUGCACAAUGGGCGCAAGCCUGAUGCAGCCAUGCCGUGUGUAUGAAGAAGGCCUUAGGGUUGUAAAGUACUUUCAGUUGGGAGGAAGGCGUUGAUGCUAAUAUCAUCAACGAUUGACGUUACCAACAGAAGAAGCACCGGCUAACUCCGUGCCAGCAGCCGCGGUAAUACGGAGGGUGCAAGCGUUAAUCGGAAUUACUGGGCGUAAAGCGCACGCAGGCGGUUGAUUAAGUUAGAUGUGAAAUCCCCGGGCUUAACCUGGGAAUGGCAUCUAAGACUGGUCAGCUAGAGUCUUGUAGAGGGGGGUAGAAUUCCAUGUGUAGCGGUGAAAUGCGUAGAGAUGUGGAGGAAUACCGGUGGCGAAGGCAGCCCCCCGGACAAAGACUGACGCUCAGGUGCGAAAGCGUGGGGAGCAAACAGGAUUAGAUACCCCCGUAGUC